rnacentral:lncRNA from 1 species
AGACUCCAUAACCCCUUCACAACCAUUGAAAUCUCUGGAAACUUCUGAAAAUUUGAGCAGCAAGAAAGAUUGACAUCUCUAAGGCACUUGAGUUCCCAGAUGCCACAUGGAAGACUUUUAAGACCUUGGCAACCUUCUAGGUUCAAAGAUUCGACCCCAGAAAGAUUUAUAAUUGAUGAGGGAAGUUCUUUAAUUGCUGUCUUAUCUAAACAAAGGUAAGUGAACCCUUCUGUAACUUUUGAAAUCUCAGGAAACUUCUCAAAACUUGAGCAGCCAGAAAGAGAAACAUUUCUAAGAGACUUGAGUUGGCAGAUGCUGCUUGGAAGACUUUGAAGCCUUAGACAACCAUUUAGCUUCAAAGUAUUCAGCCCGGAAAGAUUUCCAAUUGACGAGGGUAGUUCCUUAAUUGCAGUCCCAUCUAAAUAAAGGCACCAGAGUUCUUCCAUAACUUCUAAAAUCUCUGGAAACUUCUCAAGAUUUGAGCAGCCAGAAAGAGUAACAUAUCUAAGGGACUUGAGUUGACAGAUACUGCUUGGAAGACUUUUAAGCUUCACGCAACACUUUAAGUCCAAAGUAACAAGCUCCGUAAGAUUUUUAAUUGACGACGGCAAUUCUUCAAUUGCAGUACCAUUCAAAUGAAGACUCGAUAACCCCUUCACAACCAUUGAAAUCUCUGGAAACUUCUGAAAAUUUGAGCAGCAAGAAAGAUUGACAUCUCUAAGGCACUUGAGUUCCCAGAUGCUGCAUGGAAGACUUUUAAGGCCUUGGCAACCUUCUAGGUUCAAAGAUUCGACCCCAGAAAGAUUUAUAAUUGAUGAGGGAAGUUCUUUAAUUGCUGUCUUAUCUAAACAAAGGUAAGUGAACCCUUCUGUAACUUUUGAAAUCUCAGG